rnacentral:sRNA from 1 species
UUUUGCGCACUUGUUGUUUCCUGGGCGGGUUCGCUCGCCACCAGGACCACCAUAUAAACCUUUUUUAUGCAGUUGCAAUCAGCGUCAGUAUAACAAAUGUAAAUCAUUUACAACUUUCAACAACGGAUCUCUUGGUUCUGGCAUCGAUGAAGAACGCAGCGAAAUGCGAUACGUAGUGUGAAUUGCAGAAUUCAGUGAAUCAUCGAAUCUUUGAACGCACAUUGCGCCCUUUGGUAUUCCAAAGGGCAUGCCUGUUCGAGCGUCAUUUGUACCCUCAAGCUUUGCUUGGUGUUGGGCGUUUUUGUCCUUGGGUUCGCCCAAAGACUCGCCUUAAAAUGAUUGGCAGCCGGCCUACUGGUUUCGCAGCGCAGCACAUUUUUGCGCUUGCAAUCAGCAAAAGAGGACG